UAGCAUGAAGUCAGACAACUGA
rnacentral:rRNA from 1 species